CAUGUGAAUGCCUACAGUGUUAAUGCAUCAAAUCCUAUUAUAAAUUUGCAGUAAAGAGUGCUUGGUCUAGAGUAGUAUUGGGAUGGGUGACCUCCCGAGAAGUCUUAGUGUUUUACAUGC
rfam:Picea glauca, whole genome shotgun sequence.